rnacentral:rRNA from 1 species
AACGAACGCUGGCGGCAUGCCUAACACAUGCAAGUCGAACGAGACCUUCGGGUCUAGUGGCGCACGGGUGCGUAACGCGUGGGAACCUGCCCUUAGGUUCGGAAUAACUCCCCGAAAGGGGUGCUAAUACCGGAUAAUGUCUUCGGACCAAAGAUUUAUCGCCUUUGGAUGGGCCCGCGUUGGAUUAGCUAGUUGGUAGGGUAAAAGCCUACCAAGGCGACGAUCCAUAGCUGGUCUGAGAGGAUGAUCAGCCACACUGGGACUGAGACACGGCCCAGACUCCCAUGGGAGGGAACUGGGGGGAAAGGGAGAAAGGGGGAAGAAUGGUAAUGCAUUAAUACCGGGGGAGAUAAUAAAAGAAUAGGGUUAAAAAGCUCCGUUAACCGGGGUGGUAAUAGCAGUACCGGGGGAAAAAACACCGGAUAAAUACAU